rnacentral:rRNA from 1 species
GACGAACCGUCCUAACGUUGUUCGGAAUCACUGGGCUUAAAGGGCGCGUAGGCGGGCCACAAAGUCUGGGGUGAAAUCUUUCGGCUUAACCGGAAAAUAGCCUUGGAUACUGGUGGUCUGGAGGGUGGUAGGGGCAUGUGGAACUUCCGGUGGAGCGGUGAAAUGCGUUGAUAUCGGAAAGGAACGCCGGUGGCGAAAGCGACGUGCUGGACCACUUCUGACGCUGAGGCGCGAAAGCCAGGGGAGCAAAACGGG